rnacentral:rRNA from 1 species
GGCAGUCGAACCGAUGAAGGACGUGGCUACCUGCGAUAAGCCUCGGGGAGUUGGAAGCAAACAUUGAUCCGGGGAUGUCCGAAUGGGGAAACCCAGCAGAGCGAACCUCUGUUACCCACAUCUGAAUACAUAGGGUGUGUGGAGGGAACCUAGGGAACUGAAACAUCUAAGUACCUAGAGGAAAAGAAAGAAAAAUCGAUUCCCUGAGUAGUGGCGAACGAAACGGGAACAGCCCAAACCGAAGCUUUCGGGCUUCGGGGUUGUAGGACCAGCAACGUAGACUCGAGUGUUUAGCCGAAGCGCACUGGAAAGGCGCACCAAAGUGGGUGAAAGUCCCGUAGGCGAAAAGCACGGAAGCUUAGCUGGCACCUGAGUAACUCAGGCCACGUGGAAUCCUGAGUGAAUCUGCGGGGACCACCCCGUAAGGCUAAAUAUUCCGACUGACCGAUAGCGAACCAGUACCGUGAGGGAAAGGUGAAAAGCACCCCGUGAGGGGAGUGAAAUAGUUCCUGAAACCGUGUGCUUACAAGCAGUCAUGGCACCUUACGUGUGUUAUGGCGUGCCUCUUGAAGCAUGAUCCUGCGACUUACUGACUGUGCCAAGUUUAAGGCGAUAGCCGGAGGCGAAGCGAAAGCGAGUCUGAAUAGGGCGUUCAGGCGCAGUUAGUAGACCCGAAACCAGAUGAGCUAGCCAUGGCCAGGAUGAAGCUUCCGUAACAGGAAGUGGAGGUCCGAACCCGUUGACGUUGAAAAGUCUUGGGAUGAGCUGUGGUUAGGAGUGAAAAGCUAACCGAAUCUGGAGAUAGCUGGUUCUCCCCGAAAUAGCUUUAGGGCUAGCCUCGGGGGUUUACCAUGGGCUGUAAAGCACUGAUUGGGCUAGGGGGCUUACCAGCUUACCAAACCCUGUCAAACUCUGAAGACCCAUGGUCCAUACCCCGGGAGUCAGUCUGCGUGAGCUAACUUUCGCAGACAAGAGGAAAACAACCCAGACCGCCGGUUAAGGUCCCCAAAUCAACGCUAAGUGGUGAAGGAUGUGAAGACGCUAAGACAGCUAGGAGGUUGGCUUAGAAGCAGCCAUUCCUUUAAAGAGUGCGUAAUAGCUCACUAGUCGAGUGUCUUUGCGCCGAAGAUGAUCGGGGCUAAGCGUUGUACCGAAGCCGCGGCAUGACAACUAGGUUUCGACCGCGUUGUCAUGGGUAGGGGAGCGUUCCGUAGGCCGUUGAAGCGUGACUGGAAAGACACGUGGAGGUAUCGGAAGUGCGAAUGCAGGAAUGAGUAACGAUAAGAAGGGUGAGAAUCCCUUCCGCCGUAAGCCUAAGGUUUCCUGGACAAGGGUCGUCCUUCCAGGGUUAGGCGGGACCUAAGGCGAGGCCGAAAGGCGUAGUCGAUGGACAGCAGAUUAAUAUUUCUGCCCCGCUUUUGUGGAGUGAUGGGGUGACGCAUUAGGAUAGGCCAACCGGAGCUAUGGCUAUGCCCGGCGGGUAACGAAGCUUUUCAGGAUAGGAAAAUCCGCCUGAUACUAGAGUGACGUUAUUCGGGAAGGCCCCAAGGGGCUGAUAACUGGUUGAAUCCACGGUGCCAAGAAAAACCUCUAAACGUUGAAGCAAGAGCGCCCGUACCGACAACCGACACAGGUGGGCGAGUGUAAAAGCACUAAGGCGCGCGAGAAAACUCUCUCUAAGGAACUCUGCAAAAUGGCCCCGUAACUUCGGGAGAAGGGGUCCCGUGUGUACCGUGAGGCAACUUGCGGGAGACGGGCACAGUAAAUCGGCUCUAGCGACUGUUUACCACAAUCACAGCACUCUGCAAACCCGCGUAGGGGACGUAUAGGGUGUGACACCUGCCCGGUGCCGGAAGGUUAAGUGGAGCGGUGAGAGCUGCGAAAUGAAGCCCCGGUGAACGGCGGCGGUAACAAUAACCGUCCUAAGGUAGCGAAAUUCCUUGUCAGGUAAGUUCUGACCUGCACGAAUGGUGUAACGACUGGAGCGCUGUCUCGGAGAGAGACUCGGUGAAAUUGAACUGGCCGUAUAGAUGCGGCCUACCCGCAGCAGGACGAAAAGACCCCGUGGAGCUUUACUAUAGCUUGAUAUUGGCAUUUG